rnacentral:lncRNA from 1 species
UUACAGAUCCUAGUAUUUCUGCCGAGGUACACAGGUAAAUGCAGUCUCCAAACGAGCAGCAACUAAUUUACCGUGUUAAUACUGUGGAAUUUGGAAUCCACAGACCACAUCCACUAGUUCAACUCGGACAGUCUUUGUCGACACAGAAUCGUAGAGAAAGGGGCCGAAACACAUGUCAACUUCGAUCGGGAUGUGACACUGCCGUGCCACGUGUAAUGAGCCAGCUACAAGCAGUGCCCGGCAGGUUACUGUUACCACUUGCUACUACUGUAGCUGCUAGUAGCCAUGGUUCAUGAGCUGAUGGGCAUAUAAUUGCCUUGGCCGGCCGGUCGGCCCCCGUGUCACACGACUCACGGUCAGGACUCAGACCCAUCAGCCGUCACCCAUGCAUAUAGAUGGCCAUACGGGC